rnacentral:rRNA from 1 species
UACGGGGGGGGUAAGCGUUGUUCGGAAUUACUGGGCGUAAAGGGCUCGUAGGCGGCCAACUAAGUCGGACGUGAAAUCCCUCAGCUUAACUGGGGAACUGCGUCCGAUACUGGAUGGCUUGGAUUUGGGAGAGGGAUGCGGAAUUCCAGGUGUAGCGGUGAAAUGCGUAGAUAUCUGGAGGAACACCGGUGGCGAAGGCGGCAUCCUGGACCGACAUUGACGCUGACGGCGCGAAAGCCAGGGGA